CAGUAGCCGCGGUAAUACGGAGGGGGCUAGCGUUGUUCGGAAUUACUGGGCGUAAAGCGCACGUAGGCGGCUUGGUAAGUUAGAGGUGAAAGCCUGGAGCUCAACUCCAGAAUUGCCUUUAAGACUGCCGAGCUAGCAGGUGAGAGAGGUAAGUGGAAUUCCAAGUGUAGAGGUGAAAUUCGUAGAUAUUCGGAAGAACACCAGUGGCGAAGGCGGCUUACUGGCUCAUACUGGACGCUGAGGUGCGAAAGCGUGGGGAGCAAACAGGAUUAGAUACCCCCGUAGUCCCUGUCUCUUAUAC
rnacentral:rRNA from 1 species